UACAGAGAGUGCAAGCGUUAAUCGGAAUUAUUGGGCGUAAAGCGCACGUAGGUGGAUGCUUAAGUCGGAUGUGAAAGCCCCGGGCUUAACCUGGGAACUGCAUUCGAUACUGUGUAUCUAGAGUAUAGUAGAGGGAAGUGGAAUUUCAGGUGUAGCGGUGAAAUGUGUAGAUAUCUGAAGGAACACCAGUGGCGAAAGCGGCUUCCUGGACUAAUACUGACACUGAGGUGCGAAAGCGUGGGGAGCAAACAGG
rnacentral:misc_RNA from 1 species